rfam:Anolis carolinensis unplaced genomic scaffold chrTn0316, whole genome shotgun sequence.
CGCCAUUAGCCGUUUAGUAUCGUAGCCAAUGAGGUUAAUCCGAGGCACGAUUACUGCUAAUUGAAAACUUUUCCCAAUACUAAAAGUUUGAGUUUUGAGUUUGAGAAAU